CACUACUGUUGCCUCUGUUUCUGACAGUCUCUGAAUAGCUACCUUAACAAGAUUUCCCCGCUCCUCACCAGUCAAUCCAUCUACAAAAAAAUAACCUAUAGGAACUUUCCAUGUUUUAUUCAGACAAACCGCCAUAAACACCAGAGCUUCUUUAGCAACUGGAGCAGAGUCAUCUUGUUCAGCAUCAGCUCUUAAAUCAACAUACCCUUCAUAUUUUGUUCCAUUCCAGGAAGCAUGCCUUUUUAUUGCCAUUUCAUCCAGCAUCAAUGCACAAACUACGGGUUUAUUUGAUGAUUGUACAUUUGAUUGAAUGGAUGAAAAAGCCAACUCUGUAAAUCCUGGUUCAGCAGGGAGUUUCGUGUGCCACUUUCUCACUUGACUAGGAUGAGAGCAUUAAUGAUGGCUUCCAUGGACUUCACCUUUAUUUCAAGACGUUGAGAUUUUCGUUGAUACCUUUUUCAUUUUUUUCUGCAUUACAUGUACUUUUUUUGCG